rnacentral:rRNA from 1 species
UACGUAGGGCGCAAGCGUUGUCCGGAAUCAUUGGGCGUAAAGAGCUCGUAGGCGGCCUGUUGCGUCCGCUGUGAAAUCCCGGGGCUUAACCCCGGGCGUGCAGUGGAUACGGGCUGGCUGGAGGCAGGCAGGGGAGAACGGAAUUCCCGGUGUAGCGGUGAAAUGCGCAGAUAUCGGGAGGAACACCGGUGGCGAAGGCGGGUCUCUGGGCAGUAACUGACGCUGAGGAGCGAAAGCGUGGGGAGCGAACAGG